rnacentral:lncRNA from 1 species
GGGGGUAUGCAGCAAACUGGGCCGUGCUGGGCUUUGCUGUGUGUGCAAGAGCACAACUGGGCUGUGCCAUGCUGUGCCAUGCUGUGCCAUGCCGUGCCAUGCCAAGCUAUGCCAUGCAGGAACAUGCUGUGCCAUGCCAAGCUAUGCCAUGCAGUGCCAUGCUGUGCCAUGCCAAGCUAUGCCAUGCAGUGCCAUGCUGUGCCAUGCAGUGCUGCCCCAGGCCACACACUCUGUGCCAACAAAACCUGACCUGGGCUGGGCCACAUCAAGGUCUCCACCCCGGCUGUGCCAGCCCUGGGCUGUGCCAUGCUGGCCUGUACCAUGCCAGGCAGACUGUGCCAGCUCCAGGCCAUCAUCUGUGUGCCAGAGCUCUUGUGCUGGGCUGUGUCAAGCAAAAAGGGCUGUGCCAGGCCUGGGCUGUCCCACGUUGCGCUGGGCUGUGCCAGGAUGUGGCAGAGUCUGCAGUGCCAGGAUGUGGUGAGCCAGGCAGACUGUGCCAGCCCUGCCAACACCAUGGUGUGCUAUACUGUGCCGUGCCGUGCCACACUGUGCCACACUGGGCUGUACUGAGGCAGGCAGACUGUGCCAAAUCCAGAAUGUACCAUGUCCUGUCAGCCCCACACCCUGCCAUGCCGUGCCAGGCCUGUGCCAUGCCAGCCUCAUGUUGUGCCAGGCCCGUGCCAUUUCAGCCUCAUGCCUUCCUGUCUGAUGUUGUGCUGUGUUGUUCCAGCCCUGGGCAGUGUGGGUCUCAUGGCAUGCUGUGCCAUCUCCAGGCCAUGCCAGCCCUGUGCCAUGCCAUGCCAGCCCCCUGCUGUGCCAUGACCAGACCAUGCCAGCCCCAUGCUGCGCUGUGCCACUUCAUGCUGUGUUGCUCCGGCCCCAUGCCGUGCCAGCCCCAUGCCAUGUUAGCCCUGUUCUGUGUUGUGCCAGCCCCAUCUUGUGUCAGUGCCGGGCCAUGCCAUGCCAUGCCAGCUCUGUACUGUGCCAGCCCCAUGCCAACCCUAUGUCGUGCCAGCCCCAUGCCGUGCCAGCCCCAUGCCAUACUAUGCCAGCCGAGUGCUGUGCCAUCCCCGAGCCGUGCUGUGCCAACCCCAUGCCACGCCAGCCCCAUGCCAUGUUAACCCCGAGCUGUGCCAUGUCAGCCCCGUGCCAUGUCAGUCCCGAGCCGUGCCAUGCCAGCUGAGUGCUGUGCCAGCCCCGAGCGGUGCCUUGCCAGCUCCAUGCCAUGCUAUGCCAGCCCCGAGCCGUGCCGUGCCAGCCCCGAGCCGUGCCGUGCCGUGCCGUGCCAGCCC